rnacentral:lncRNA from 1 species
AUAGGUGCAUACCCUACUCCUACAGUGAACCUAAUGCAGCCAAUCUACACUGCAUGGACCCAUAUGGCUAGAGACCAUGUAUGUGUGCAGUCAAACUACAAUAACCUCACUGUGAGCAGCCGAAGCACCGCAGGUCAAAGGACCAGUCACACUACUGCAACAUCAAGCAAAUCACUGACGAGUGGAUAGACAUCCAAGUGACUUCUUGUCUUGGUCACGCUCAGUACCCUUGUUCUUUAACAAGCACCUGCACUAUCACUUCAGUGUCCCUACACUGUGGACUCAAGUCUCGUCCAUCCAGAAGGAAAGUGAUCUGUGCACUGAUCGGAUCG